AGCGAACGUUUGCGGCGGGCCUAACACAUGCAAGUCGAACGGGCUGUCCUUCGGGCGAGUCAGUGGCGCACGGGUGCGUAACACGUAGGUAAUCAACCCUUGGGUUCGGGAUAACACUGCGAAAGAGGUGCUAAUACCGGAUGCGACGGACGGGGCUUCGGCUCUGUUCGGGAAAGAUCCGCAAGGAUUGCCCCGAGGACGAGCCUGCGGCCCAUCAGCUUGUUGGUGAGGUAAAAGCUCACCAAGGCUAAGACGGGUAGCUGGUCUGAGAGGAUGAUCAGCCACACUGGAACUGAGACACGGUCCAGACUCCUACGGGAGGCAGCGGUGGGGAAUAUUGCGCAAUGGGCGAAAGCCUGACGCAGCCAGCCGCGUGAGCGAUGAAGGCCUUGGUCGU
rnacentral:rRNA from 1 species